UGAGGAAUAUUGGUCAAUGGGGGCAACCCUGAACCAGCGACGCCGCGUGAAGGAUGACAGGGCUUUGCCCCGUAAACUUCUGUCGGGAGGGAAAAAAGGACUGUUUGGCGGUCUGGGAUUGUACCUCUAAAGGAAGCACCGGCUAACUACGUGCCAGCAGCCGCGGUAAUACGUAGGGUGCAAACGUUGUCCGGAAUUACUGGGUGUAAAGGGUGCACAGGCGGUUUUGUGCGUCAGAGGUAAAAUCCCACAGCUCAACUGUGGACCUGCCUUUGAUACGGCGAGACUUGAGUACAAGAGAGGAUGAUAGAAUUCCUGGUGUAGCGGUGAAAUGCGUAGAUAUCAGGAGGAAUACCAGUGGCGAAGGCGGUCAUCUGGCUUGUAACUGACGCUUAAGCAC
rnacentral:rRNA from 1 species